UGGCGGCGUGCCUAAUACAUGCAAGUCGAGCGAACGGACGAGAAGCUUGCUUCUCUGAUGUUAGCGGCGGACGGGUGAGUAACACGUGGAUAACCUACCUAUAAGACUGGGAUAACUUCGGGAAACCGGAGCUAAUACCGGAUAAUAUUUUGAACCGCAUGGUUCAAAAGUGAAAGACGGUCUUGCUGUCACUUAUAGAUGGAUCCGCGCUGCAUUAGCUAGUUGGUAAGGUAACGGCUUACCAAGGCAACGAUGCAUAGCCGACCUGAGAGGGUGAUCGGCCACACUGGAACUGAGACACGGUCCAGACUCCUACGGGAGGCAGCAGUAGGGAAUCUUCCGCAAUGGGCGAAAGCCUGACGGAGCAACGCCGCGUGAGUGAUGAAGGUCUUCGGAUCGUAAAACUCUGUUAUUAGGGAAGAACAUAUGUGUAAGUAACUGUGCACAUCUUGACGGUACCUAAUCAGAAAGCCACGGCUAACUACGUGCCAGCAGCCGCGGUAAUACGUAGGUGGCAAGCGUUAUCCGGAAUUAUUGGGCGUAAAGCGCGCGUAGGCGGUUUUUUAAGUCUGAUGUGAAAGCCCACGGCUCAACCGUGGAGGGUCAUUGGAAACUGGAAAACUUGAGUGCAGAAGAGGAAAGUGGAAUUCCAUGUGUAGCGGUGAAAUGCGCAGAGAUAUGGAGGAACACCAGUGGCGAAGGCGACUUUCUGGUCUGUA
rnacentral:rRNA from 1 species